AGCUUUGCACAGUGGCAGUAUUGUAGCCAAUGAAGGUUUAUCCGAGGCGCGAAUAUUGCUUAUUGAAAACUGUCCUAUUAUAUCGAGCCUAAGUCUGUAUCUGUUAAUCUUAAAUCAGAUUAUUAGACUUUUACCUCUAAA
rnacentral:snRNA from 1 species